rnacentral:lncRNA from 1 species
AAAUUAUUGGGCUAAUUUCGCUAGCAGUACAAUUGAACAGAUGCAUCUCAAAGUCGAAGUAGGAAAAAUUAGAAAGAGAUUUUGCAGAAAGAAGGAGAAGAUUCACAAUUAAUCUUAGGCAAUGGUGAAUGAGGAGAGAGAGGACUGGUGUAGGAACUUCAUUGGGUGAAGACAGUGAUUCCAUGCUCGACGAGUGUGUAGUCGAUUUGGCAGUUGAAGAUGGGGAUGCGGAGUUACGAUGUGAUUGAACAGUCGGCGCGUGCGACGGAGUUUUGGCUGCUACGGCAGUGGCCGACGAUGGUGUGUAAUCGGACAUAUGGAUGGAGAACGAGACACCAACAGCCUCAAAUCCUUGAAUUAAUUGAGGGAUAAUUUCUGUUCUUUUGGCCAAUUAAUUGAGGUUUGUCCCAAAUCCUUGAAUUUUGUGAACCCAUGAAGUGUAGUGGUUUUGCUCUUCUGAUUUUUAGAGACUAGAUUAUAAAGAUUUGUUUUUUAGGAGAGAGGGAGAAGAAGUUCUGAAGUUAAGAUUGGGUGAUGGGAGUGAAAGAUGGUUUUCCUUAGAGGGGUUUUGAGGGGCACAAAGGUAAAUGACUUAAUUUGCUGAACAAAAAAUCAUAAAUGACUCAAAACUUAACGGUGUCAUUCUUUUUAACGUUGACCCAAAAUAUCAGGGGCUAUUUCGUUACGUUUUGUAGUUCAAGGGGGUGUUUGAGACAAGCCCUAUAGUUCAGGGGUGC